UAGGGUUAACGCCCAGAAGAGCCGCAGUGAAUAGGCCCAAGCGACUGUUUAUCAAAAACACAGGUCUCUGCUAAACCGUAAGGUGAUGUAUAGGGGCUGACGCCUGCCCGGUGCUGGAAGGUUAAGAGGAGUGGUUAGCUUCUGCGAAGCUACGAAUCGAAGCCCCAGUAAACGGCGGCCGUAACUAUAACGGUCCUAAGGUAGCGAAAUUCCUUGUCGGGUAAGUUCCGACCCGCACGAAAGGCGUAACGAUUUGGGCACUGUCUCAACGAGAGACUCGGUGAAAUCAUAGUACCUGUGAAGAUGCAGGUUACCCGCGACAGGACGGAAAGACCCCGUGGAGCUUUACUGUAGCCUGAUAUUGAAAUUCGGCACAGCUUGUACAGGAUAGGUAGGAGCCUUUGAAACGUGAGCGCUAGCUUACGUGGAGGCGCUGGUGGGAUACUACCCUAGCUGUGUUGGCUUUCUAACCCGCACCACUUAUCGUGGUGGGAGACAGUGUCAGGCGGGCAGUUUGACUGGGGCGGUCGCCUCCUAAAAGGUAACGGAGGCGCUCAAAGGUUCCCUCAGAAUGGUUGGAAAUCAUUCAUAGAGUGUAAAGGCAUAAGGGAGCUUGACUGCGAGACCUACAAGUCGAGCAGGGUCGAAAGACGGACUUAGUGAUCCGGUGGUUCCGCAUGGAAGGGCCAUCGCUCAACGGAUAAAAGCUACCCCGGGGAUAACAGGCUUAUCUCCCCCAAGAGUUCACAUCGACGGGGAGGUUUGGCACCUCGAUGUCGGCUCAUCGCAUCCUGGGGCUGUAGUCGGUCCCAAGGGUUGGGCUGUUCGCCCAUUAAAGCGGUACGCGAGCUGGGUUCAGAACGUCGUGAGACAGUU
rnacentral:rRNA from 1 species